rnacentral:rRNA from 1 species
UCCUGCAGCUCACUCUCUGCAACUCUCACAUGGGCACCCACUGCAGCUAAGCAGGGCUGCACUCGGUUAGUACCUGGAUGGAAGACCGCAUGGGAAAGCUUGGUUGCUGCUGGAU